rnacentral:rRNA from 1 species
UACGAAGGGGGCUAGCGUUGCUCGGAAUCACUGGGCGUAAAGGGUGCGUAGGCGGGUCUUUAAGUCAGGGUGAAAUCCUGGAGCUCAACUCCAGAACUGCCUUUGAUACUGAAGAUCUUGAGUUCGGGAGAGGUGAGUGGAACUGCGAGUGUAGAGGUGAAAAUUCGUAGAUAUUCGCAAGAACACCAGUGGCGAAGGCGGCUCACUGGCCCGAUACUGACGCUGAGGCACGAAAGCGUGGGGAG